rnacentral:lncRNA from 1 species
AGCAAAGCGAGCCGAGCCGAGCCGAGCAAGCAAGAAUCUUGCACGGAGUGGAUUUUCGUCUUUGCCACCCCCCGAACCCUUCUUCGCCCCCUUUCCCUUUUCAUCGNUACAGGACAGCAGUCGGGGCUUGCCGUGGUAGGGCAGAUCACCUGUCGCUUUAAUAGGGAGAUUUUUUUUUUUCCUUCAAAGAAAAAGAAGAAGAAGGGGGGACGAACGGAACUGCCCGGAGAGUGUCGCCUCUUAUUCUGUUGAAUAUAUAUGUGUAUAUCUCGAUCGAUUUGGACCCAACGGAAGCGGGCGUGAUUCCCGGAGAAUGAAAUUGAGCAGAGCGUCGACGAUUUGGAGGACAAGGUUGAGUUUGCCCUGGAAACUGAGAGCCUAGAAAAAAUACAUAUAUAUUCUUUCUUUUUCUUUCUUUUUUUUUUUCCUGCUGAAAGAGAGAUAAUUUGGUACAACUUCUAUAGUGCUUUAUUUCUACUCCUUCUCCUUCCACGUUUUCCUUCUCCCAUCUCCGCGCCGUUCAGUUUCGGUCUAUGGAUAGAUCACAGAAUCUGGACAUUGAGGAGCUCAAGUGGUGCU